rnacentral:rRNA from 1 species
CGGCAUGCCUAACACAUGCAAGUCGAACGAGACCUUCGGGUCUAGUGGCGCACGGGUGCGUAACGCGUGGGAACCUGCCUUUAGGUUCGGAAUAACUCAGAGAAAUUUGAGCUAAUACCGGAUAAUGUCUUCGGACCAAAGAUUUAUCGCCUUUAGAUGGGCCCGCGUUGGAUUAGCUAGUUGGUGGGGUAAAGGCCUACCAAGGCGACGAUCCAUAGCUGGUCUGAGAGGAUGAUCAGCCACACUGGGACUGAGACACGGCCCAGACUCCUACGGGAGGCAGCAGUGGGGAAUAUUGGACAAUGGGCGAAAGCCUGAUCCAGCAAUGCCGCGUGAGUGAUGAAGGCCUUAGGGUUGUAAAGCUCUUUUACCAGGGAUGAUAAUGACAGUACC